GAAGUAUAUAGUAGUAAAGAUUGUCUUUUCCUAUAGUUAAGUUCUUACUUGCUAGUUCAAACUAUAUUUGCAUGUAUUGGAGUUGUAGAUAGAGCUAGUCUAUGUAUGUGAGUGGGGAGGAAGCUGUCAUUGAUGCUACUAAUAUGAAUAUUUACUAUAGUUGAUUUCGAAUUGGGAAAUAGAUAAAAGGGGCAUUAUAG
rnacentral:lncRNA from 1 species